rnacentral:rRNA from 1 species
UACGUAGGGUGCGAGCGUUCAUCGGAAUUACUGGGCGUAAAGCGUGCGCAGGCGGUUUUGUAAGCCGGAUGUGAAAUCCCCGGGCUUAACCUGGGAAUGGCAUUCGGGACUGCAAGGCUGGAGUGCGGCAGAGGAGACUGGAAUUCCUGGUGUAGCAGUGAAAUGCGUAGAUAUCAGGAGGAACACCGAUGGCGAAGGCAGGUCUCUGGGCUGACACUGACGCUCAUGCACGAAAGCGUGGGGAGCAAACAGG